CCGCCGUGCGGGCCGACGCCGGUGUAGCCCGCGCCGCUGCCGGCGCCGACGGCAUGGAACGUCCACACGUUGGUCGGCGGUUCCAUGCCGUCCGUGGCGGU
rnacentral:tRNA from 1 species